rnacentral:tRNA from 3 species
GCCUCGAUAGCUCAGUCGGUAGAGCAGGGGAUUGAAAAUCCCCGUGUCCCUGGUUCGAUUCCGGGUCGAGGCACCA